rnacentral:rRNA from 1 species
CCUACGGGUGGCAGCAGUGAGGAAUAUUGGUCAAUGGGCGCGAGCCUGAACCAGCCAAGUCGCGUGAGGGAAGACGGUCCUAUGGAUUGUAAACCUCUUUUGUCGGGGAGCAAAAGACGCCACGCGUGGCGUACAGAGAGUACCCGAAGAAAAAGCAUCGGCUAACUCCGUGCCAGCAGCCGCGGUAAUACGGAGGAUGCGAGCGUUAUCCGGAUUUAGUGGGUUUAAGGGGUGCGCAGGCGGAAGAUCAAGUCAGCGGUAAAAUUGAGAGGCUCAACCUCUUCGAGCCGUUGAAACUGGUUUUCUUGAGUGAGUGAGACGUAUGCGGAAUGCGUGGUGUAGCGGUGAAAUGCAUAGAUAUCACGCAGAACUCCGAUUGCGAAGGCAGCAUACCGGCGCUCAACUGACGCUCAUGCACGAAAGUGUUGGUAUCGAACAGGAUUAGAUACCCGAGUAGUC